rnacentral:lncRNA from 1 species
UCCAUCCACCCAUCACUCAUCCAUCCAUCCAUCCACCCAUGACUAACCCAUCUGUAAAUCCACCCAUCACUCACCCAUCUGUACAUCCACCCAUCUACCCAUCCAUCUGUCCAUGCACCCAUGACUCACCCAUCUGUCUACCCAGCCAUCACUCACCACUUGGUCCAUCCAUCCAUCACUCACCCAUCCGUCCAUCCACCCACUACUCACCCAUCCUUCCAUCCACCCAUCACUCACCCAUCUAUCCAUCCACCCAUCACUCACCACUUGGUCCAUCCACCCAUCACUCACCCAUCCGUCCAUCCACCCAUUACUCACCCAUCUGUUCAUCCACCCAUCACUCACCCAUCCUUCCAUCCACCCAUCUCUCACCAUCUGUCCAUCCACCCAUCACUCACCCAUCCGUCCAUCCACUAUCACUCACCCAUCCUUCCAUCCACCCAUCUCUCACCCAUCCGUCCAUCCACCCGUCACUCACCCAUCCGUCCAUCCACCAUCACUCACCCAUCCUUCCAUCCACCCAUCACUCAUCCGUCUAUCCACCCAUCACUCACCCCUCAGUCCAUCCUCUCAUCACUCACCCUGUCCAUCCAUCCAUCACUCACCCAUCUGUCCAUCCACCCAUCUACCCAUCCAUCCAUCCAUCCAUCCACCCGUCACUCACCCAUCCUUCCAUUCACCCAUCUCUCACCCAACCGUCCAUCCACCCAUCUACCCACCCACUCAGCUGCCUGCCCCGCCAUCUGUCCAGCACACCCAUCCAGGUGCUAGGCACUUCCUCUGUGCCAGGCCCAGGAAGGUCACUGCAUAGGAGAUGGGAGAUGGUUGUGACUUUGGUGACACAGGUGAGCCCAGGUGAUGUGGUUUGGAUUUGUGUCCCCACCCAAAUCUCAGGUCAGACUGUAAUCCCUAGUGUUGGAGGAGGGGCCUGGAGGAAGGAGAGGGGAUCAUGGGGACAGACUUCCCCAUUGCUAUUCUCGUGAUAGUGAGUUCUCACGAGGUCUGGUUGUUUGGACGUGUGUGGCAUCUACCCCCAUCUCUCUCUCUUGCUCCUGCAUGUAGGAGGUGCCUCCUUCCUUCCUCUUUGCCCUCCCACCAUGAUCGAAAGUUUCCUGAGGCCUCCCCAACCAUGCUUCCUGUACAGCCUGCAGAACUGUGAGUCAAUCAAUCUUCUUUUCUUUAUAGCAACAUGAGAACUAAUACACCAGGCUAUGGGGAUGGUGAGGUUGGGAAGCGCCUGGGGGAAGACAUUUCCAAGGUAAACAGGGUCUGCCAGCCUGAUGCGCAAGGGUGCUCCCAGCAGAGGAAGAGCUGGAGCUGUGGUGCGGGGUGCACGGCCUAGGAGGAGCUGAGCAAGGUUGGAUAGUGGUGCAUGGAGCAAGCUGACCAUGGAGGGCCUGGUCAGCAUCUUUCAGAACCUGGGUCUUGUGUGUGAUGACCUCACCCUCUCCGAGGCUCCCUGACUCUGGCCUCUGCUGUGUCGGUUCCUGCUAUGAGAGGGCUGGGAAGAGGCUGGCUGAUGCCAGACCCACUGUCUUGGCCACCCUGAGGCCUUGUGCCAUCUGCACAGUAUCCAGGGACCUCAGACCCAGGGACAGCACCUGGCACACUUGCUGGGGGAGAAGACGCUGUGGUGGGUGGUGGCCCAUGAGUGUGUACAUGUGUGGUUGUCUGCGCAUGUGUGUGCAUGCCUGCACAUGGGCCUGCACAUGUAAGUGUGUUGUGUUCAACUGCACGUGUGUGCAGGUAUUGUUGCCUUGCCUGUCUGCACACACAUGUACCUGUGUGUUCAUUUCACACAUGUAUUGCUGGGAACAUGUGUGUACAUGGCUAUGCAUACAUGUGUAUGUGCCUGUGUGUUAGUGUAGGCCUGGAACCCACGUACACCCAGGGCAUGUGGGGCUGGAGAACAGGCGUGGCCAAGCUCACAGAUGGGCAGCUGCACGGACACUCAGGCAGGACUCAUGUGUUUCCAGGUCAAGGCACACUUGACACUUCUGGGUUAAAUCAGGGGAAUGAAAAGAAGAAAAUCUAACAGGCAUAACUCCAGGCACAUUCCGCUCUAUUUCCAUUCUGAGUGGGACUCAAGGGCC